GAAAUGCGAUAAGUAAUGUGAAUUGCAGAAUUCAGUGAAUCAUCGAAUCUUUGAACGCACCUUGCGCUCCUUGGUAUUCCUUGGAGCAUGCCUGUUUGAGUAUCAUGAAAUCUUCAAAGUAAAUCUUUUGUUAACUCAAUUGGUUUCUACUUUGGUAUUGGAGGUCUUUGCAGCUUCACACCUGCUCCUCUUUGUUCAUUAGCUGGAUCUCAGUGUUAUGCUUGGUUCCACUCGGCGUGAUAAGUUAUCUAUCGCUGAGGACACUGUAAAAGGUGGCCAAGGUAAAUGCAGAUGAACCGCUUCUAAUAGUCCAUUGACUUGGACAAUACUUUUAUGAUCUGAUCUCAGAUCAGGUAGGACUACCUGCUGAACUUAAGC
rnacentral:misc_RNA from 1 species